AGUUUUAUAGUUUAAAUAAAAUAUUAAUUUUGUAAAUUAAAGAUAAAAUAAAAUUUUAAAACAA
rnacentral:tRNA from 1 species